rnacentral:pre_miRNA from 13 species
GGUCAUGCUUUUCCACAGCUUUCUUGAACUUCCUUGCCAUGCUUAACUUGUGUGUGUGUGUGUGUGUGUGUGUAGAUCACUAUAUAUCUGUAUAGUUAUACACAUUUAGCUAGCUAGCACCAUGGAAGCUCAAGAAAGCCGUGGGAGAACAUGGCAA